rnacentral:lncRNA from 1 species
UCUUGUCACCACCACUAGAGGAGGGGCAUUUGUUCAGUCGCAGAGCUCAUGCUUUGCAUAUGGAAUGAUGAUGGAUAUCUGCUAACCUCUCCAGGUAAAAGGAUAAACUGGAAGGUGUGUAAAAGAUGAGAAAGAUGGGAAGGACUGCAGUUCAGUGGCGAGGCAUCAGCUUUUCAUGCAAAAAGUCCCAGUUUCAAUAUCUGGCAUCCUCAGGUAGGGCUGGGAAUGUCCCCUGUCUAAAGCCUUGGGGAACCACUGAUUGGCAGUGUAAACAAUACUGAGCUAGAUGAACCAAUGACCUGACUUAGAAUAACACAGCUCCAUAUGGAUGGAGAAGGGCCUUAGCUCAGCAGCAAAACAUCUGCUUUGCACACAUAAGUUCCCACUUUCCAGCAGCACCAAGCAGGGCUGGGAGAGAUCUGUUUAAAAUCCCAGGGAGCCACUGCCAGCCAGUGUAGGCAAUAUGAGCAAGCUGGCCCAAUAGCUUGACUCAGUAUGAGGCAGCUUCCUAAGUUCUUAUGUUCCUCAGCCAGAGAACUUGAAGAACUGCUUCCGGUCAGUAUAGCUAGAAGAAUAGAAUUACAGAACUGUAGAAUUGGGAGGAAUCUCAACUAAAGCAUCUGAAGUGUAGGUGGGUUCCCAUGAAGGAAGACACAGUGAUAACAGCAAGAAUCUUUAUUGAACUAACAGAACAGGAGCAAAGCAACAACAGGAGCAAAGCAACUGCUUAUAUACAUUUCUGAAGGCCCACUCCCAACAUGAUUCCAAGCUGCGAAUCAUGAUGCAGAGUUUAAGGGCCAAUGGCAGAGGCCCAAAUCCUGAAAUGUUCUGUGACUGGAUAUCAUGUAUUGAAUCAGAACACAGGGGCUCAGAAUCCUUAGUCCAGACUCAAGUUCAGGCAAACAUAGGCCACUGAAUACAUAACAGCAUCCUUGACAGAUGGCUUAAAAACUUCCAAUGAAGGAGAGUCCACAACCUCCCAAUGGAGUCUGUUCCAGGUAAUACUGGGCUAGAUGAACAAGUUGACAUAGUAUAUUGCAGAUUCCUGUCUACAUUCCUCCUGAGGGAAGCAAUACUUUUUGCUUAUGAUUAUGGCAAAAUUCAACUGCCCAUGGUGUCACCUAAGUCUGGGCAGGCAUUCCAGCUCAGAAAUAUAUAUAUAUCUUUGUGUGUGUGUGUGUGUGUGUGCUUGUUUCCUUCCAUGGCUUUUUGAAUCGGUGCAGCUUUAUGCAAAGUCAGGGACUCUGUCUGUUUUCAGCCCUCCCAGAAUGGUAAUGUGUGUCAAAAUGGAUGCUUCUUGGAAUAUACAGCGUGGCUCAGAUAAGCACUUGGAAAUGUGGAGGCUUAACUAAAGCUUAUCUGCUCUAUCCAAACAGCCUGAGCCUGCAUAACUGUGAGGGGCUGUCUCAGAAGAACAGGCUUUAUUGGGAAACUUAAUAGCACUCCUGCUCCUCAACCCAGCCAGAAAUACCAAGCUGUCUCUUUCAUUGUAUAUUCUGGCACGAGAAAGAUGAUGGCACUCUCCCGGUGGAAGCUCCCUCUGCUCUCCCUUCCCGCCCCCUUCUCCUAAUCUCUUGCUUUCUCUACAAAUCCCCCCACAACCACCUCUGCCCCUCUUUCAUGGCAUUUGCUUGGCAUACCUAAUAAGGCACUGAUUAUCCUUCAGAAGUGCAAAUAACUCUUUCCCUUUUAAAUUAAUCCAUGGGGUUGUUGUUUUUUUAAAAAUAAAUAAAUAAAGAAGUACUCCUUGUUAAUAUUGAAGAAGAAUGUUGGAGAUACUCUUCUGCAGUAUGAACAAGGAGUUAUUAUUGGAGAACCAGUGUAGUGUAAUCAGGGCUUUUCCCCCAGCCAGAACUCAAUUCUGGCACCUCCCAGGUGGGCGCCAUUGCCAUUAUAAGAGAACAAGGGAGGCAUUCAUGGUGAGUUUCGCACCUCUUUUCUUUCUGGAAAAAGAGCACUGGGUGUAAUGGUUAGGGUAUCAGAUUAGAAUUUGGGAGACUAGGGUUUAAAUCCCUGCUAGGCCAGGAAGCUCCUUGGGUGACUUGGAGCCAGUCACUGCCUCUCAACCUAACCUACCUCACAGAGUUGCUGUGGGGAUUAAAUGAGAAAUUGGAGAAACAUGUGCACCACCUUGAUAUAAAAUGCAACAAACAAAUGUAAAUAAGGCCCUGUGUGGUGUGAUUUCUUAAGUUUGAAUUUAAACUCACCAGUUCAUCCAUUUCUCCCCAUUUCUAGUGUGUGUGUGUGUGUGUGUGUGUGUGUUUGUGUUUGUGUGUAGGCAGGCAUCCAUACAUAUUUAUAUUGGUUCUCCCCUUGGUGCACCUCUCUCUCUCUCUCUCUCUCUCUCUCUCUCUCUCUCUCUUUCAGUGGGCUAUGGCUGAUAUGCUAUGUUUACAGAAGAAACACAUUCCAUUUACUUCCUCUUUUCCCCCCUUUACCUCUGUUGACAUGGAAACAACUUGACUUGCCUGCCACUUCUAGAAAAGAUGUUUUAGAGAUUCAGAGUAGUUAAACAUUCCACCAGCCUUACGUGCCUGGCAGGCUACAACCCUUGUUUGAAAACUCAGAUGCAAAGCAGGGAUGAAGCUCCACUCGGAUGUCCCCCAAAAUUCCCAGAGCAAACUAAUGGUGCCCCCAGACUGUCAGUAUUUUGUGGGAGGAAUUCAAAUGCACACUGGAAAUUUAGGUUUGUGCAAUUGUAGUAUAGUAAAGCACCCUAGCACAAUGAAUCCACUUUUAAAAACUGCAGCCACAAUAGACUUUUUGCAGUAAGUUAAGGGACAGGGAAAUGCACUGAAAAAUGUGGGAUGAAUCCAUGAGUAAUGCAAAAUCAUGCAAACAUCCCACAAGCAAGCCAGGAUGAAUGCUCAUUGUUGUACAACAGCACUAUAAACAAACCAAAGUUAAUGCUUAAUGAAGUUUGGAAUUAGUCUAACCCCUGCAAAAAAAUUGUGCAAGCAAAUCAGGAUGAGCGGUAUAUAAACAGGCCACAUGGGGCUGGAGGAGCCCUAAAUUGAUGGGUGUUGUUUUUGCUUUGCACAGAGGUCCUGAAUGACAGAAAGAAGGGUGCUCCUUUAUCUUGCCAAAGGGACAAGUUUGCUCCACCCCUUUAGAAAUGAAUGUUAAAUACUCUGGACUUAGACCUCACCUGGAUCAUGGAUGUCACCUGUGGCUCAGUUUUAAAAGAUGUUUUAAAAGAUGACUUUGCCCCCACCUCCAUCAUUCUCAGUACACUUGUACUUUGCUUAAAAGGGUGCAGCCUCUCCAUUAGUCUCAGUGGUAGAGCAUCUACCUUGCAAGCAGAAGGUCUCAGUUUUAAUCCCUGGCAUCUCCAGGUAGGGUUGGGAGAGGCUUCUGUCUGAAAACAGAAAGUCACUGCCUUUCAGCAAGAUGAACUAAUGGUCUGACUCAGCUUCCUAAGGCAGCUUCCUAGAAUCAUAGAAUCAUAGAAUCAGAGUUGGAAGAGACCACAAGGGCCAUCGAGUCCAACCCCCUGCCAAGCAGGAAACACCAUCAGAGCACUCCUGACAUAUGGUUGUCAAGCCUCUGCUUAAAGACCUCCAAAGAAGGAGACUCCACCACACCUCCUUGGCAGCAAAUUCCACUGUCGAACAGCUCUUACUGUCAGGAAGUUCUUCCUAAUGUUUAGGUGGAAUCUUCUUUCUUGUAGUUUGGAUCCAUUGCUCCGUGUCCGCUUCUCUGGAGCAGCAGAAAACAACCUUUCUCCCUCCUCUAUGUGACAUCCUUUUAUAUAUUUGAACAUGGCUAUCAUAUCACCCCCUAACCUCCUCUUCUCCAGGCUAAACAUGCCCAGCUCCCUUAGCCGUUCCUCGUAAGGCAUCGUUUCCAGGCCUUUGACCAUUUUGGUUUCCCUCCUCUGGACACGUUCCAGUUUGUCAGUGUCCUUCUUGAACUGUGGUGCCCAGAACUGGACACAGUACUCCAGGUGAGGUCUGACCAGAGCAGAAUACAGUGGCACUAUUACUUCCCUUGAUCUAGAUGCUAUACUCCUAUUGAUGCAGCCCAGAAUUGCAUUGGCUUUUUUAGCUGCCGCGUCACACUGUUGGCUCAUGUCAAGUUUGUGGUCAACCAAGACUCCUAGAUCCUUUUCACAUGUACUGCUCUCAAGCCAGGUGUCCCCCAUCUUGUAUUUGUGCCUCUCAUUUUUUUGCCCAAGUGCAAUACUUUACAUUUCUCCCUGUUAAAAUUCAUCUUGUUUGUUUUGGCCCAGUUCUCUAAUCUGUCAAGGUCGUUUUGAAGUGUCAUCCUGUCCUCUGGGGUGUUAGCCACCCCUCCCAGUUUGGUGUCAUCUGCAAAUUUGAUCAGGAUGCCAUUGAGUCCAUCAUCCAAGUCGUUGAUAAAGAUGUUGAUAUUCUUCUAUAUAUGACAAUGGAGCAGGGAAAUUUCUGGUUACGCUGAAUCCUCUGUGGAGUCCUCAAAGUCAUCUCCACAUCCUUUGGCUGAGGGGGAUACCGACCCAGUAAGCUCAUCACAUGAUGAGGCUUCUGGGAUGGGCCUGUCCCCUUCUGUUUCAGAGUACUCUGCUCCACCACCGGAAGGGGACUCACUCUUAUUCCCUGACAACACCUUUCAUGUCUGGCUUGGUCAUGUCCACAGAAUGGAAGAUGACAGGAUCCCCAAUGACGUGCUCUGCAGGGAGCUGUCUUCUGGCACCAGGCCAAUUGGCAGACCAGCUCUACAUUACAAAGAUGUCUGCAAACGUGACAUGAAGGCUGGCAACAUCAGCCCGUCCAUGUGGGAAUCCUCCAGUGCCUGGAGACAGGCAGUCAAGUCCUGUAUCCAUAGCAGUGACCAGAGGAGGAAUGACUGCUGGGAGGAGCGCAGGGAGAAAAACAACAACAUGGUGCAUCUGCUGCAGCACAACAGGACACCAUCUGCUCCAGCUGCAACAAAACCUGUCUCUUGCAUUUCAGUCUCUACAGCCACAGCAGGCACUGCAACCUGCCAACAGCUUGACUUCACCCCCAAAGGCACACUCCUCUACUGUCUCACAAGACAGAUGGAUGCCAACAAGUGGGGCGGGGGGAUCAGACACUUUCUCGCCUCACUUUUUAUUGAGUGGGAAAGGCAGAGAUAAGUUAAUGUUGGAGCUAGGGUAGUGUUAGCCAUAGGGGAGGCAGAGAUAUUCACAUCUCUCACACCCAUCAUAUAUCAUUUCAGGUUCAGGUGUUGGGGAAAGCAAAACUGGCUCCAGGUUUGAGAAGAGCCCAGCAACACAUUGCCUUCAGAUGGGGCUCCAUCAGGUUCAGAUCUGCAGUUGGGCAUGAAGGUCACUGGGUGACCUAGGACCAGUCACAACCUCUCAGCCAAGCCUACCUCACAAGAUUGUUGUGAUGAUGAAAUGGAGGGGAAAGGAAAAGAGCUAUGUAUACUGCCUUGAGCUCCCCGGAGGAAAGGUUACAUAUAAAUAUAGCGAGUAAAUAAACAACAGAAUCCACAAAGACAUUUACACAUCCUUAUGAUUUGCUUCAGUUGUUAAUACGUAUGUUAAAAUUCUGUAUGGUUUUAAACUUGAUUGUAAGUCUUCUAGAGAUUGCCCUAUCUUAGGCAAGUAAAUAAUAAUGAUGAUGAUAAAAUCAUUACUCAAGAAGUGUAGCUUUAAAAAGUCAUAGAAGAACUUUAUUCAGUCUAAAUUGUUUCCCCUCAACUCUAGCAUUCAAAAAUUUCUUUCUUUCACUCUUUCUUUCUUUCCCCUAUAGCUUGAAAUGAAAUGAUUAAGGCCAGUUAUUUGCAGCUCACAACUGCUUUUCUCUCCAUUAGACACAUGGAAGAAAAGGGCACUGGCAGGUACCCUGGCGUGGCAUUUACUUUUGCCUACUUGACAUUGCGAGUGCCAAGCAUUCGUCUAGCAUUCAAAUCCCAGUGGAUGACUUUCCAGAGUAUGCCCCCCUCCCUCGCAACGCUUAGACACUGCUCAUCAGAGUUCUGGCAUUCAGUCAAACAGGCAUUUGUCAUGGCUUAUAAUGCUUGUUAAUGAAGAAGCAUCAAAAAUUAAUGCUCAUUAGGAUGCUCAUUAAUAUGUAUGGAAAUCCUGGAUUUGACUUAAUUAAAUGAAGCAUCACUUCAUGUUGGCAUCCCAUCACCAAAAUUAAAAAAUGUGUGGGUGGGUGAGGGAGAACUAGCAUACUGUACAACAGUGAAAUUAAUGAACAUGGGCCUGCCCACUUUUCCCUCUGGCCCCAGCCCACACUGGUAUGUGGCCCUGGGGAGGUUGACCACAAGGGAAUGUGGCCCUCGAGCUAAAAAGAUCUCUCUGUCCUCCUGGUGUAGGCAAUAAUAAGCUAGAGUCUGGACACUAAAUGAACCCAUAGCCUGUUUCAGUAGAAGGCAGCUUUUGUUUUCACAGUUUUCACAGAAGUUAAACUUGCUUGUUAGCAAGGCAUUUUAAGUAUUUUUAAGUGUGGGAUUGGAUAGGAUUGCCUUGCUGUUUUUAGCUGCCUUCCUCUGUGUUAUUAGCAUUUGUUUUGAUUAGUCUGUUUCAAUGUUUUAUUGCUGUACAAAUUUGGCUGUCGAUCCUGCCAUAUAUUGCAUCCUGCUCUGGUAUCAGUGUUGAUGAAGUGUUCAGUAUAAAUGUGUUUAAUAUAUAGAAUAUAUAAUGUACUCCUUGUAAGUUCCUCCAGAGAUUGCUCCACAACUUGUGUGCUCCCAGUCCAGCUGAAAAAGGACACCAUUAAAACUGAAAUCUCUCUUCUCUCUCUCUCUUUUGUUCUGUCAACACAUGAGGUGGAUUUGACUUCAUAAAUGAUAUGAAGAAUGCGAGAAAAAAUGUAUUCUGUUCAUCAUGAAUAAGAAAUGAACAGAAUAAUUUAAUAUACAUACAUUAAUGGCAUCUGCCUUGAUACCAGUGUCAAUGUCUUCUGCAUUGUGCUGUAUCCAUUCUUGUUGACUAGCAGUAAAGUAGCAUUUUUGGUAGGUCUAGACAGAGUGAAUUUCCAUAAGAAUGGGCUGAUCACAUUUGCUUUCCUCUGCAGAUCCUUUCUCUCUUUGAUAUAUCCUACAUUUUCAUUUUAUUUUUGUGCAUUUAAACAGCUUCCAGCAUCAUUUGUUCUUUGGACUAUAAAAGCAAAAUCAGUGAGUACCUCAAAUGUCAGGGUGAUCUGUAUAAUUCUCUAGCUUAUUAAUAGAAUUGACAAAAAUGUGAGCUUCUUCCAUGACUCGCUGAACUAGUUAACAGUAACUUGUUUCCUGAAUGGUGUUGAAGAAAACCAACCAGCCAUACGCUAGUAGAUUAAGUUGGAUUUUUAUUUAUGGUGUUUGUCAAUUGUACCCCCCCCCCCCCCAAAUCUAUGAAGUCUACAGCAUCUGACAGGAACACCAGUUUGCACCGAAGGUAUGAAAUCACUUUCAGAUUUCACUAAGAAGUAGAACACCAACAAACUUGUCAACCUUUGAAGUGUGGUGUUGAUGUUUGAAUCUUCCUUGUUUCAAAGUUAUCUUACUUGGAACCUUUCCCCUUCUGCAUCAGAAUAUUAAGGCCAUAUCUGUAAACAAUGCAGUGGUACCUCUGGUUAUGAACUUAAUUCAUUCUAGAGGUCUCUUCUUAACCUGAAACCGUUCUUAACCUGAGGUACCACUUUAGCCGGUGCGUGAUUUCUGUUUUCAUCCUGAGGUAAAGUUCUUAACCUGAGGUACUACUUCUGGGUUAGCGGAGUCUGUAACCCGAAGUGUUUGUAACCCAAGGUGUUUGUCACCUGAGGUACCACUGUAAUUGAGAUUUCCCUCUUCACUGACUUUUUCAUCUAUACACUUUUAGAAAGCAGGUCAAGAGAGACACUACUUUUGGUAGGUUUUAGGAGGAGGGGUGGGGUGGGGGUGAAUAAUUGUUAGUUGAUUUUUCACAGCAGAAUUAUGAUUUGAUUUGAGACUCUUAUUAUGCUUUUCGAACAACAAUGUUGUGCUCAAAGUUGCUAACAAUAAUAACUACAGCAUUAGCCAACAUUUCUAUCAACAUAGUAAUGCCCUGAGCUCCUUGGAAGAAAAGGUGGUUUAUAAAUGUAAUGUAAUAAUAAAUAAUCAUUUUUUUUAAACCACUAGUGCAUAAAUAAAGCAAAAACAAACAGAUUCAGGAAAUGAUUAAUGCGGCUGCUGAGCAUUGCCUGAAAUUGAUGGAGGAUUUAAUGCUCCCCUUUUUCUUCUGUGUUGAGUUAUAAAAAUGUGUGUGUGUGUGCUAUUUUGUUUCAUUUUAUAGGUGUAGGUUCUGGGGUCUGUUGGCAUAGAUGAUAAAACAAAAAAAAGCUUAAACAAACAAACAUUCUAUAGCAGUGGUUCCCCAUUAGGGGUCUGGGGACCUCUGAGGGUCCACGUAACACACCCAAGGGAUCCCUGGCACCAUCCCCUGCCUGGGACUCACUUAUUUUGUUAAUUGCACAGUGAAAGCCUUGCACGGAUCAUCCAGCCUCUGCUCACAACCAACACCUGCUUGCUGGCAGGGGGAAAAACUUGUGAAAGAUUUGCUGGAUAGCAAGUGAGCUGGGAUUGGGCACAAACCUCUGAUACAGUUUCUUAGGGCUCUUGCGAUUGGAGGGGGGAGAGUGCAAACAGCUCACAUGCUUAUCAUUCAAAACAAUGUAAGGGAUCCCUUCUCCUCACUCUCUAGUUUUUAAUUGAAAAGAAAUAAGUGCUUUCAAUGACUAACAAGUUUAAAUGACUCUCUCACUGCUUGUAGGUAGGGUUUCAGUGAAUCUUGCUUUAUGAGAUUGGGAUUCAUGUCUCAUCUUGGAAGUACAACAUGGGAAAUAGCUAAGCAAAUUGCCACUAUGAUUAGCACAACAGCUCAGCCUCUGAUGAUAUAGUUUAGUGCUAGGGCUGGGCAAAACUUUUCAACAUUGUGAUAUAUCAACAGCUAAAUACUAGCAUAUGCCAAUAUAUCACGAUGACUGAAACUACUACUACUAUUACCAACAUUACACAAUUCCAGCUGUUUUCUACUCAGUCUUCACCAAUACUUUAUCAGGCCCUGAACAAGCCUUCACCUAUGUCUUGAGGAUGCACUCAGCAGAACCAUAUGCUGCAAAGUUUUGCUAAGAUGUACCAUCUCAGAUUACAAGUAAGGAAUAGCAUGUUUGAAUACUCUCUCAUAUAAAAAGCCUUCUGCAUAUAGAACGCUUGCAAGUUAGGGACACUUGCUUUUUAAAAUUUAGUUGUAGUGGAGCAAUGGAGACAUGUUUUUCCUACUGUCUGUGGAUUGGCAAUUUGUGGGAAUAUCACAAAUUUUAUGGUCUGUUUUACAGUAUACCUAAAAUCCUUUGCUUAUUAGGGGUUAUCCCACAUUUUCUUAC